UGGGGAAUAUUGCACAAUGGGGGAAACCCUGAUGCAGCAACACCGCGUGAGUGAUGAAGGUUUUCGGAUCGUAAAGCUCUGUCUUUGGGGAAGAUAAUGACGGUACCCAAGGAGGAAGCCACGGCUAACUACGUGCCAGCAGCCGCGGUAAAACGUAGGGUGCAAGCGUUGUCCGGAAUUACUGGGUGUAAAGGGAGCGCAGGCGGAUCUUUAAGUUGGACGUUUAAUCUACGGGCUUAACCCGUAUCAGCGUUCAAAACUGGGGAUCUUGAGUGGAGUAGAGGCAGGCGGAAUUCCAGGUGUAGCGGUGGAAUGCGUAGAUAUCUGGAGGAACACCAGUGGCGAAGGCGGCCUGCUGGGCUCUAACUGACGCUGAGGCUCGAAAGCAUGGGUAGCAAACG
rnacentral:rRNA from 1 species